AACGCACAUUGCGCCCGCCAGUAUUCUGGCGGGCAUGCCUGUUCGAGCGUCAUUUCAACCACUCAGGCCCUGGUGCCUGGCGUCGGGGUGUUCUGUGUAACAGCAGAAGCCCCUAGAGACAGUGGCGGACCCGCCGCGGCUCCGAGCGCAGUAGUAAAAUAUCUCGCUUAGGAGGUCCGCGGGGGGGCUUACCGGCCGUAAAAACUUUUUCCCUCACGGGAAAUACUUCUCAAGGUUGACCUCGGAUCAGGUAGGAAUACCCGCUGAACUUAA
rnacentral:misc_RNA from 1 species